rnacentral:rRNA from 1 species
AACCUCUGCAAUAGGCGAAAGCUUGACAGGGUUACUCUGAGUGAUUCCCGCUAAGGGAAUCUUUUGGCAUCUCUAAAAAUGGUGCAGAAUAAGGGGUGGGCAAGUCUGGUGUCAGCCGCCGCGGUAAUACCAGCACCCCGAGUGGUCGGGACGAUUAUUGGGCCUAAAGCAUCCGUAGCCGGUCUUGCAAGUCCUCCGUUAAAUCCAGCUGCUUAACAGA